GCCAUGCCGCGUGUGUGAAGAAGGCCUUCGGGUUGUAAAGCACUUUCAGCGGGGAGGAAGGCGUUGAGGUUAAUAACCUUGUCGAUUGACGUUACCCGCAAAAAGCACCGGCUAACUCCGUGCCAGCAGCCG
rnacentral:rRNA from 1 species